AGAACGAACGCUGGCGGCAUGCCUAACACAUGCAAGUCGAACGGAAAGGCCCUUUCGGGGGUGCUCGAGUGGCGAACGGGUGAGUAACACGUGGGUGAUCUGCCCUGCACUUUGGGAUAAGCCUGGGAAACUGGGUCUAAUACCGAAUACACCUUGCUGGUUGCAUGACUGGUGGGGGAAAGCUUUUGCGGUGUGGGAUGGGCCCGCGGCCUAUCAGCUUGUUGGUGGGGUGAUGGCCUACCAAGGCGACGACGGGUAGCCGGCCUGAGAGGGUGUCCGGCCACACUGGGACUGAGAUACGGCCCAGACUCCUACGGGAGGCAGCAGUGGGGAAUAUUGCACAAUGGGCGCAAGCCUGAUGCAGCGACGCCGCGUGAGGGAUGACGGCCUUCGGGUUGUAAACCUCUUUCAGUCACGACGAAGCGCAAGUGACGGUAGUGACAGAAGAGCACCGGCCAACUACGUGCCAGCAGCCGCGGU
rnacentral:rRNA from 1 species